rnacentral:ncRNA from 2 species
GACAUUGAUAGAGGUGCAACAAUUAUGAGUACCCCAUCCGUAAUCAGGCUUUGGAUGAUGGGAAAGGAAUUGCUGCCGAAGUGGUCUUUCGCUGCCUGUGAGUAAAGACUGCUGGUCUAAUGCAGAAUAUGUAUCAGACUGUCACAUGAUAUAAAACAAGCAAAGAACAAAUCCUUGCUUGUAUGUGGAGCGCUAUCAUUACU